rnacentral:tRNA from 1 species
AGCCCUGAGGUGUUAUCAUGUGAGAUUGCAAAUCUUAAGAAGCAGGCUAGACACCUGCCGGGGCUU